rnacentral:rRNA from 1 species
CCUACGGGAGGCAGCAGUGGGGGAUAUUGCACAAUGGGGGGAACCCUGAUGCAGCGACGCCGCGUGGGUGAAGAAGCACCUCGUCGCGUAAAGCCCUGUCAGCAGGGAAGAAAAUGACGGUACCUGAAGAAGAAGCCCCGGCUAACUACGUGCCAGCAGCCGCGGUAAUACGUAGGGGGCAAGCGUUAUCCGGAUUUACUGGGUGUAAAGGGGGCGUAGACGGCGAUGCAAGCCAGGAGUGAAAGCCCGGGGCCCAACCCCGGGACUGCUCUUGAAACUGGCUAGCUAGAGUGCAGGAGGGGUAGGCGGAAUUCCUGGUGUAGCGGUGAAAUGCGUAGAUAUUAGGAGGAACACCGGUGGCGAAGGCGGCCUACUGGACUGUAACUGACGUUGAGGCCCGAAAGCGUGGGGAGCAAACAGGAUUAGAUACCCGGGUAGUC